rnacentral:rRNA from 1 species
CCUACGGGAGGCAGCAGUGGGGAAUCUUGCGCAAUGGGCGAAAGCCUGACGCAGCAACGCCGCGUGCGGGAAGAAGGCUUUCGGGCUGUAAACCGCUUUCAGCAGGAACGAAAAUGACGGUACCUGCAGAAGAAGGAGCGGCCAACUAUGUGCCAGCAGCCGCGGUGAUACAUAGGCUUCAAGCGUUGUCCGGAUUUAUUGGGCGUAAAGAGUUCGUAGGCGGUCGAGUAAGUCGGGUGUGAAAAUUCUGGGCUCAACCCAGAGACGCCACCCGAUACUGCUUGACUUGAGUUCGAUAGGGGAGUGGGGAAUUCCUAGUGUAGCGGUGAAAUGCGCAGAUAUUAGGAGGAACACCGGUGGCGAAGGCGCCACUCUGGAUCGAUACUGACGCUGAGGAACGAAAGCAUGGGUAGCAAACAGGAUUAGAUACCCUGGUAGUCCAUGCCGUAAACGGUGGGCACUAGGUGUGGGUUUCUAUUAACGAAAUCCGCGCCGUCGCUAACGCAUUAAGUGCCCCGCCUGGGGAGGUACGGUCGCGAGACGUAAACGUAACGAAGUAGUAAGUACGUGUUGAGUAGUUCGACGACGCGACGACGGAGGGAGGAG